UACGGGGGGAGCAAGCGUUGUUUCGGAUUUACUGGGCGUAAAGGGCGCGUAGGCGGCCACCGCAAGUCGUUGUGAAAUCUCUGGGCUUUAACCCAGAAAGGUCAACCGAUACUGCGGGGCUAGAGUGCAGAAGGGGCAACUGGAAUUCUCGGUGUAGCGGUGAAAUGCGUAGAUAUCGAGAGGAACACCUGCGGCGAAGGCGGGUUGCUGGGCUGACACUGACGCUGAAGCGCGAAAGCUAGGGGGAGCGAACGGGG
rnacentral:rRNA from 1 species